GUCACUUUUUGGUGUGGCCUCAUUCACACUCCUCCCCAUUUCAUAAAAGAGAGACUUUUGGCUGUUUUGAAAAAAGCCUCCCUCAAACAUAAAAAUCACAGAAUAAUGGCUUUAAGAGUGUCUAUCUCAACUUUUCAGUGCUAGCAGAUUUAUUGGAAUGCAGAAAAAUAAGAUAAACAAAAUACCAGUGUGCUCAAACUGAGAGCAGGUUCCUUUUUGGAAGACAUGUGUUUUUUUGAUGAGCUAAGUGUUGAUUCUAACCCAAAAAGAGGGAAAACUGUGAGGUUAGAUAAGUGUCUGCUAGAUUCAUUAUUGCCAUGUGGAUUCCGUGAAGUGGACUCAGAGGUCACUGGUGGUAGCUGCAGGAUAAAGUUCACUUGUUGUUUAUUCUCACUCCGAUUGGGCAGUCACUGAAAACAGAAUGUGAACUACCUUCUGGAAGCCCUGUGUUAACUUCACGUCUGCCUAUGAGGGACACUUCCAGCAAGGAAGCGCAUGAUGAAGUCUGCAGGCAUUACCUGAGCAAUGCCAAGUGGCCACCGGCCAGGGUACAAGUUAGACCGGGGAAUGGCUAUCGAAUGCAGUUGUUGGGUUUGGCACAUCUUUCUCAGGCUGCUGAGCUGAGCAGGAAAGAGAGACGCUUGUUUGUGGAUUUAUCUCACCACGUUCUAUAAUGCACUCUUUAAUCUGAAUCUUUCUAUUUGCUCAAGAGAAAACAAGUCUGACUUGCAUAGCAUCAAGGGUUUAGGCUGGGCGGUUUCCCUCUUUAACCCUUGCCCCCGUAGCGUCCUCUGCCUACGAUUUCCUAACGCUGACUUUUUCCAGCAACCUGGACAGCAACCUCACAGGUGAUUUGAGACGCCUUUUGGUUGUACUUAAAAAUUUCCAACAGAUUUGCUGCACACCCCAUGAUAAAUAUAAUAGUUUCCUGUGGAAUCGUGAUGACUUCUCACACUACAUUUGCAAGCGUGUGUAUGCAUCUGGAUGAGAAACAGCCUGGGCUCUGUUCAGGAACUCCGCUGUGACCACAAAACUGUUUCUGUUGAAUUUUCUUCGGUGUGGUCAUCCCGCCUUCGGGUCAGCGAAUCAGCGGCGUCUGGCACGGAUGUUUUAACCUUAAAGCUUAAUGUAUAACUAGUAUUUUUUUUUUUUCUUUUUUCCUUCUGUGUCAGCAGUUGGCAACACGACACUGAAAAUAAGGGUUCUGUGAAUCGAAAGAAGAUAACCUUUGGAAGAAGUGUAUAUUUCAGUUCUCCAGCAAAGUACCGGUGAAGCAUGCCGACUCUCACCAAAUGACCCUGUCUUGCCAAUUCCUCUAUCUUGGCUCUGAUUAUCUGCAACUUAAAACCAAGCCCAGGAUGGCUGCACAGCAUUUUACUGCUCUCUCUCUCUCUCUGUCUUCCUUUUUGGUAAGCCAAAUAAAUCUACCCCUAAUCACGUCACUGAGGCCACAAGGAAAUGUAAUCCUGCCAAGUGUGGGAACUAACAAAAACUGCCAACGUCUUAAGGUUACAGAGAGAGAUCAAGAACCACUUUCUGGGUUUUGCGUGUCUGCUAUGCGUGUGCGUGGGUGCCGUGUGUAUGCACCAUGUGAGUGCCUGGGUACGGUGUGUGCAUACUGUGUGUACACAAGCACCGUGCCUUUGUGUGUAUGGGCAUGUGUUUACACAGUGUAUGCAUGCGUGCUGUGUGUAUGUACCAUUUGCAUGUGCACUGUGUGUGUAUGAGCAGACUCGCACAUGUGUACUGUGUGUGCAGCAAACCAGAUGCCCCAGAUCCAUGGGAUUCAGUGACAGCGGCUGGGAGAGGCUGAUAUGAGGAGGGUCUGCUUGGAAACAGGUAAAUCGCUUAAGUGCAUGGUGAUUUUCAUCUGGUUUGCUGCCCUUUCCCGCCUUAAGCAACGCACACAGAGACGGAAGAAAUGUUAAAGAUAGGCAGUGAGUGUUCCGCUUUCCCUGCCUGUCUGCAGCUCAAGUGAGUUCUUUUCGAGUGUUUUUUUUUUUUUUUUCUUAAGCUUCAGAAAAAAGGGGAGAGGCUUGGGAUUGAGAAGACAGAGCCAGGAUUCAACAUCAUCCUGUUCCUUUUAGCCAUGUGAGUGUGUUUCCUGUAUACCCAAAAGACAGAGAGGAGAUGAAAAAGAAAAAAAAAAACAAAAAAAAAAAACAAACAACAAACCAAGGAGUCAGAUUGGAAAGACAGUAGAUGAGUUUGUAUGUAUAAGAUGCAACUGCUACCCCCCCACAGGACUGGCGGCAUGUCCCAGUUUCCUCUCUCUCACCUCACUGUAAGUGCUGACCCACUUCUGGCUAUUUUUAUUUGUUUCUUUGAAAAUGCUCACUGUGCGAUUAGAGUUGACUCUUGUCGACUUUGUUCUCAUUCCUCCCUGCCAUCUGAGUCCCAAAGUGCAGCCCUUCCCACCUCACUCCCAACAAUUACGGGUGAGUGCAGAGCCAAAGGAAGGCAGGGUUUUAUUGGUGAUGUGACAAACGGGUGACCCCUUUCCUCACAAUCAGAGACACAAGGACAAGCAGCUUGUACCUGCGCGUGGAGUUUUGUACCGAGUUGCCCUUUGUCCACUGGAGACGGCCCCUUUCCGAGUCCCAGUGCUGGGGGGGGGGGCAUGCUGACGCCAGCCUCCACCCCCAGGUUUGCGGCUGGACCAGCCCAGGGCAUCCAGCGUGUGUAGUGGCUUAUCUAGGGUUGCAGCCUGAGUCAACAGUGGAACCAGGAAGUGAACUCGGGGCCCCGCAUUGUAUGGAAAGUUGGGUGUAUAUUUGCUUUUCUCUUAAAGCAAACUUUGAUUUACUCUUUAAUAAGUUACUAUGGAGGAUAUAGAUCUGGAGAAAUUUGACUUGGCAUCCAAAUCUAAGUCACAUAUUGAUAAGGAAGGAGAGGAACAGUGAGUCUUUUACGUUUUUCCAGCUUUAUCAUUAACCUCAAGUUUGGAAAUAUAUUUGCUUUUAGAAGUGUCAGUUUCCCAGUUUAAGAGGGCGAUAAUUCCCUAUUGAUGAGGUACAUUGGCACUGUUGGAAGCCCUGGAGGGGCCUGUGUGACAAAAUAAGGAGUGGCCUCAACUUCAGACAGAGCAGGUUUGGAUCUGGGCUCUGUCAUUUACGGUGUCACCUGUAGUAUCCCUUCCCUUCUUUGCCCUCAAUUUCCUCAUCUGUGAAAUGAGGGUGAGAAGAAUCUCCCUUAAGAAGGAUUCAGCUAGGAGACAGAUGGGAAGGGCUGGCUGGGAGCGUGGAACUGGGAGUCUACACUCGCCAUAGCAAACUAUCAGGGUUAUGUAUGACCUAAGUCAUUUUUAUUAUGUGCAGUAAAAGUUGUUUUCUCUUUCCAGAAGUUUCUCCAGGACCUCCCCUGCAUGAGGUACACAAUGUGGUUGCAUGCUCUGUGCUUGUCCUACUAGGGUCCCCAUGAGCGGCUGGAGCUGCCCUUGCCUCCCUGCUGAGAGGGGCACGGGUCCUGGGGGGUGGCCGGGAGUGACGCUUCCUGUCCUUUCUGCUGACAGCACUUCCUCCUUAAAUGCAGAGGUCUGCAAAAAGGGGGAAAAAAAGCACAAAAAGAAAAA